rnacentral:lncRNA from 1 species
AUUCAGAGCUGCCAUUUUCUUGUUGAUUCAAAGUACUGUUUUUUAGCUCAAUAAGUUAGAGAAUUAAGCCAUGCAUAUGAAUCAAAUAUUUUGACAUUCGCAAUUGGCCGCCAGUGGAAAUUUUGCACUGAAUCUGUUGUUUGUGCGUAGUAUACUUUCAUUUUUCCUUGGCUUCUUCGAGUUUAGCUUUUCAGGCAAGUAAGUCCAUUGACAAACACUUUCUGUUCACAGGCACUUUCUAGAUUUACAACUCAAG